rnacentral:rRNA from 1 species
GUCAAUAGAAAGGCCUACAAUUCUUUGAAGAUGUUAGUAUGCUAGGCACUUUGGAAUGAGAGGAAUGUGAGAGUGUUUCGCAAUAAGGCCUCUUUGCCCACAUGUGUCGUUGCGUCGAUUAAGACGGAGGCGAGACUAUGGGUACUUGCAGAGGGAAAGUUAUUGGGUGACAUUUUACCGGGAGAGUGA